rnacentral:tRNA from 1 species
AAAUAAGAAGCAAAAUAUGCGUUUAGUUUCGACCUAAAAAUUUGAUGACAACAUCCUUAUUU